rnacentral:rRNA from 1 species
GAUGAACGCUGGCGGCGUGCCUAAUACAUGCAAGUCGAACGAGGUGCUUUUGUAGCAAUACGAGAGUAUCCUAGUGGCGAACGGGUGAGUAACGCGUUGGUGACCUACCCCAAAGUGUGGGAUAACAGUCCGAAAGGAUUGCUAAUACCGCAUGUGGUCUUCGGGUUUAGAAACUGAUGACUAAAGGAGCAAUUCGCUUUGGGAGGGACCUGCGUCCAUCAGCUAGUUGGUGAGGUAAUGGCUCACCAAGGCUACGACGGGUAGGGGACCUGAGAGGGUGACCCCCCACAAUGGAACUGAAACACGGUCCAUACACCUACGGGUGGCAGCAGUAGGGAAUAUUACACAAUGGGCGAAAGCCUGAUGCAGCAACGCCGCGUGUGCGAUGAAGGCCUCGGUCGUAAAGCACUUUCUU